GAAAAAUAUCUAUUUCGGUUUUUUUUUCAAUUAGGUUUAAGCAUAAAAGUGAUUUGUUUUUUUUUAGUUUUUAAAGUUAAGCAUAAAGUGAAUAAGGUCACUAACCAUACAGCUUCGGACUUGGUUUGAGCCUCCGUUUGGUCAGCUGUCUUGGUCAUCAGCUUACGACGUGAAGCUCGGCGGCGAGGCAUCUUUCCUUCUAUAGGGCUACUACGAUGAACUGAUAAGAUACAACAUAAUAAUACUUCUCCAAGAUACACAUCUAUUGAUUGUUUAACAAGAGCCGCCAGCAUAGAGUCCAUAUUCAUAAAUACCCGUCCAAAAACAAACCACAAAACAUACAAAACUACAAACAUAUACUUCAGUUUUCCGCUUUUCUACACAAACCUACAUAAAUACGGGCACUCUACGUCCAUAUUCAUAAAUACUUGGCAAAAUACCUGUGGUGGCACAAUGAGGUACAACACGGCUUCUUCGGAUAGUUUUUACACACCCCUACAUAAAUACGGGCAAUCUGAGGGAUCUGAGGGCUCCGAAAAGACUCGCAAGUAGAACCAAUACUUUGUUCGACACUGAUUCGGCUAUCGGAAAAUAUAGACUGUGUUCAUCGGGUACACGUUCAGAUGUGUGACUGGAUAAAAAUAUAUUUUGUUACUAAUAAUUAUAUUACUCGUGAUUAUAUUUUGAUACUAAAGUACA